GACGAACGCUGGCGGCGUGCCUAAUACAUGCAAGUAGAACGACGUUGCGAACGGGUGAGUAACACGUAGGUAACCUGCCUCAUAGCGGGGGAUAACUAUGGGAAACGAUAGCUCAUACCGAAUAAUGUGAGAUGGCACUGCGUUGGAUUAGCUAGUUGGUAAGUUAAAUGCUCACCAAGGCGACGAUACAUAGCCGAACUGAGAGGGUGAUCGGCCACACGGGGAGUGAGACACGGCCCAGACUCCUACGGGAGGCAGCAGUAGGGAAUCUUCGGCAAUGGACGAAAGUCUGACCGAGCAACGCCGCGUGAGUGAAGAAGGUUUUCGGAUCGUAAAGCUCUGUUGUUAGAGAAGCGGUAUCUAACCAGAAAGCCACGGCUAACUACGUGCCAGCAGCCGCGGUAAUAC
rnacentral:rRNA from 1 species